rnacentral:lncRNA from 1 species
UGGACAGUCCGGGAUCCCCCCUGAUUGUCACUUCCUUUCCCUCAUGGAUAUAGGUCAUUGUUAAAUUGCUCCAGUCCAGAGUCACCUUCCCCAGGGUAGCCAACCAUUCCACCCCCAUGAUCACGUCCACCCCUCCUAGUUCAAAUAAAUGUAAUCGCGUUGAAAUCUGAACAUCUUCAAUGCGGACUUGCACCCCUUCGCAGCACCCUCGGGUCUCCUUUCUCCACCCAUCACCUAGACUAACCAUGUAAGGUUGGUGUCUGUCGUGGUCAAC